GUUCCUCAUUUCUCCGGAAAAAAGUAUUUCUCGAAAUUUCUGGAGAUAUAAACUCUUCCGUCGAACACGAGUUAAAUCAAGUUAAGAAAAAGUUACGAGAGAGAGAAAACUAGAGAGAAGAAGACAGAGUAGAUCUGGCCGGCGUCGGAGGGCUCUCUUAGCCUCGAUGUCGGUCGGGUGUUGGUGAUUACGGUUUUCUCGAUGUGCUUUUUCUCGAGGUUUGAGGUUAUCCGAUGGGUUCUGUUUCCGGCGUCGCGCCUCUCUACGGUGGUCGUUCGGUUUGUGUCUCCGGCGUCGCACCUCUCUAUGGUGGUCGUUCGGCUAGUGUCUCCGGCGUCGCGCCUCCCUAUGGUGGUCGUCCGGCUUUUGUGUUCAUCUCCGGCGAAGGGUGGCCGACUGUGACUCCGCGUCACACCUUUACUAUGUGUUGACGGCGGCUUUAAUUAUGGAUCUGUUUGGUGUGUUCGAUCUACGCGUCUUGGCGCUCAUCUGUCCGAUUGACUCUCUGUUCCUCAUACUUUGAAACACGAAGGUAGAGGGAUCGAUUGAAGUCGAUUUGUGUUCUUGAGAAGAGCGUAGAUCCAGUGGAGUUUGGUUAGGGUUUUGGAUGGCUAGAUUGUGUACGUGGUGGCUCCGUGCUUUAGAUGAGAUCUCGAAGUUCUCGAUGAAAGCUCUCCGAGAGAAGGAGCAAGAUGAAGUAGGAUGAGACGGAAUUCAUGGUUCCGGCGAGAUUCCGGUGUGUUGACUCGGGGGAGGGGAAGUUGCCUUGAUCUAGAUCACGUGAUUUACAGCGGCGUCUAUUAUUUUCUAGGGUUUCUGGCUUUGUGACUUAGUGGGUUUAAAAGUCAAAGGUUGGGUCUGUUUGUGCCCUUUGUAUUGGGCUUUUUGUGGUUGUAAAAUAUGGGCUUACACCUUUUAAUAAAAUUUCAGAUGGGAAAAAAAAAAACUCUUCCGUCGAAGAUUUUUACAAGCAGAGAAGUUCGCCACAUUCUUAAAAACAAUAAGUUCUUUCUCGAUUUCUCUUGAUCGUGAAUUUAUUUCGUUUGGGUUCCGUUUAUAUCUUAUUUAAUUAGGGCUUGAUGCGAUCGAUUGGGUUCUUACUGUUUUUGUUUUAGGGUUUCAAGUUUCCUUAACUGCUCCUUUUUUUCUUUUAUUGUUGUAGUGAUCCUGGAAAGUGCUUGAAUCGGAGUGGAGUAAUCGUUGCGUAUGUGGAUAUGGAGAAAUCAUCAUUGACAGAUUGAAGACAAGUGUGAAUCUUUGAGUUAAACGGCUUAAGAAGUGGCAACAUAAAACAGAUAAGUUCUUCUACUUCUUUAUGCCUUUGAAGUUUUUGUUUUUUUAGUUUUAUCAAACUCCAAAAAGAUCAUAGGCAGACAUUUAUCUAAUAAUAGUGUUCUGCCAGAUUCUUAUUUUGGAGACACUGUCCCGAGUCCCUGUUGCGUGAAAGCUUAGUCCCAACGAAAAUUUAAAUCAAUCUCCUAGAAAACUGUUGGUUGGUAGUGCAUGUCUUUGAGGAUGGAAAGUAAACACACACCUUAGUAGUACCCACGGCUUUACUAAAACAACCAUCGGCUUAAGAAAAAAAAGUCUUUAGACAGGAAACGGCUAUGUCUAUAGCUAUGAGUUGGUUUUGAACUUGUUGGAUGGAAAAUAACGACCACAAGUCAUGAAAACUAAUUGUCCCGAGUCCUGUGGCGUGAACUUGUUGGAUGGAAAUAACGAUCACAAGUCAGGAAAACUAAUGUCCAGAGUCCCGUUGGUAUUGUACGGUUUGAGAGAAGUCUUCAGACAAAGACUCCCAACUCUAAACCAGGUCCAUUGCUUAACCACAGCUCUAUGAGCAAAGGAUACUUGAGGAUGCGAAGUGUGAGAAAAUUUAGUACUAACGGCUUAUCAAAAGACAAGGCUUUAGACAGUGAGAUUGUGAAUGAAAAUGUCUUCAUCACGUACGUUCGUACCCACGGCUUAUGAACAAGCUUUUAGACAGAGUUUGUAAAACUACCAACGGCUUAUAGACAACUGUUUAGACAGAGAAUGUGAUUGUAAGAAAGUCUUUAGACAGAGACUAUUCAUCACAUUAGUACCCACGGCUUGCAAGAAAGUAUUUUGAUAAAGAUUGUGAUUGUAAAACAACCACCGGCUUAAAAACAACUGUUUAGACAGAGAAUGUGAUUGUAAGAAAGUCUUUAGACAGAGACUGUAUUCAUCACAUUAGUACCCACGGCUUCCAAGAAAGUCUUUUGAUAAAGACUGUGAUUGAAUAUGUUUUCAUCACAUUAGUACCCACGGCUUGCAAAAAGGAUUUUACACAGAGACUGAUUGAAAAUGUCCUCAUCACAUUAGUACCCACGGCUUGAAAAAAAAAGAUCUUUUGACAAAAACUGUGAUCUAAUCACAUUUGUUCCCAUGGCAUGCAAAAAAGGUCUUUUGACAAAGACUGAUGAAAAUGCAUUAGUCACAUUUGUACCCACGGCUUAGACAAAGGCUAAGAGAUCACCCCAAUGUCUCUAAAAUCUAUUGGUUGGUAGUGCAAUAGAGAUCUAAGAGAUGUUUGGGGAUGGAAAGUAAAAUAUACUUGAGUAUCCACGGCUUUACAAAAACUACUAUCUACUUAAAAAAAGUCUUCAGACAGAAAAUGACAAUGUCUAAGGCUUAUGAGAUCAUUGGAAGGAUUCAUUAAAACGAAGACUAUGAAAUGGUUUUGAACUUGUUGAAUGGAAAUAACGAUCACAAGUAUGAAAAAAGAGUAACUUGAAAACCUUGCUACCCUUGGCCUUGUUAAGGGCAUUAUAGAAAAUAUUGGUAUGUACGGUUUUAGAGAAGUCUUCAGAAAAAGACUCUAAAUCUAAAUCACAUCCAUUGCUUGCUUACACACAACCUUAAAGACAAAUACUAUGGAUUGGUUUUGAACUUGUUGAAUGGAAAUAACGAUCACAUGUUAUGAAAAAGUAACUGGAAAACCUUGCUACCCACGGCUUUAUAAAGGGGAUUUUAGACAAUACUGGUAGGUACGGCUUGAGAUAAGUCUUCAGACAAAGACUUUAAAUCUAAACAACAUCCAUUGCUUGCUUACACACAACCUUAAAAAUUUAGUACGAAGGGCUUAAAAAAACAGUACCAAGGGCUUAAAAAAACAGUCUUUCGACAGAGACUUUGACUAUAAACGUAUUCAUCACAUUUUGUACCCACGGCUUGCAAAAAAGGGUCUUUAGUCAGAGACUGUUUUUGAAUACAUCAUCAAAUCUGUACCCAUGGCUUUUCAAAAAAGGUUAUAGACAAAGGCUAUGAGAUCAUCAUAAUGGCUUUAAAGAGUUAUCAACCGUUUCUUUCUUUUUUACUACAAGUUAUUAAUUUUCUUUAUCUCUUAACUUUUUUUUUUUCCAGGUGAAACCGAGUCAUGUUGUUUUUAGCUGCCAGACUCUUAAAACUUCAGUUAUCAAGUGUUAAGUCAGGGGAUAUUGAUCUUUCAGAGUAUCAAGAUGCUAAAGGUUACAACAUGGACGACACAGAUGAAGUCGAGAGUCCUGGUAGCGGAGAUGCAGAUCAACAGAAGGGUGCAGCCGAGCCAGCUUCUGCUACAGCAGAUAAUGGAGCAGCAGGCCUUAGUCAUUCGCCUUAGGCAACACGAAGAAACUGUAGAUAAAGAUAGUAAGCACUCUUCAGUUCUCGCCUUAGACAACACGAAGAAACUGUAGACAAAAAUAUCAAGAAACUCAGAGCCAUUAUUUAUUGAGGGUUUUAUAUUUGUUUCAGAAGACUCAGACAUGAUUUCAAAUGUAUCAGAUUUCCUUGACGGGUAUAGGCUUCACAAAAUGUUCAUAUCCUCAUUGACGCUUGUUCAGUGACGGUCGGUUACCAUGUUGCCUAUGGGGUAACUUGGCCAAGCUUCUCUAGUCUUCUUCAAACAAGAAGAUGGAAUGGUGGUUUGUUGUUAAGCUGGGCUAAAAUUGAAAGGUUUAGAGGACAAAUUCAAAUCUCUAAUGCCUUUGACGGUUCUCAAGUGUUGAUCAAUCCGGCAAUACCAGAAGUAGACAAAUUUAAAAAUAUUAAAGACGAGGAGAUCACCAUAAAAGCUUAAAUGAGAGAGCCGAACAGCUUGACAUUGCUGAUUGUACCCAAAAGAACCUUCUAAGGCAAACUGGUUUAGCAUCUUGGACAGAACAUUAUUCAGAAUGACAUAUAAGUAACGGGAUAAGGAGCAGCCUUGUCCUAUACCACGAGCACUUGUGAAAAAGCCUCCGAGCUUCCAUUUAUGAAGACAGAGAAAGAUGCUGUUGAGAUACAGAUCCUGAUCCAAUGAAUGAAAACGUCUGGUAAUCACAUUGGCCAAAGAACAGAUGUGAUGAAUUCAUCGUAUCAAAAGCUUUAGAAAUGUCGAUCUUGAUUAGUACACCGGUCUGAAUUGUUUUUCAUGUGGUAACCAUUGACAAGCUCUGAUGCUAGCAGCAUAUUUUCAAGUAGCGUCUUCUUUUGAUAAAAAAUGCAUUGAUUGGAUUCGAUGGCUGCUAGAAGAAUAGUCUUCAACCUUCUAGCCAGAAUCUUGGAAGAAUAAAAUAUUUUGAUGUAUUGCUUUAAUAUAAAACUAGAUUUUGACCCGCGCUUAGAAAGCGCGGGAUUAUUUCUGUUGACAUAUUUAUUACCCUAUUUAUGUGUUCACUAAUAUGUUUGUACGCAUUUGGUUUUCGGUUUGGUUCUAAUUUGUAUUUUUUUUUGUUUUCAGAUUCAUUCCAGUUUGAUUUUCAUUUCUCGAUUCAAGAAAUAUAAGAAUCGUUUGGUUAUUUAUGAAUUUGGAUGUGAUUUUGGUUUGGUUAACUUAGUUUUCGGUUUGGUUCGAA